rnacentral:rRNA from 1 species
AUUGAACGCUGGCGGCAGGCCUAACACCUGCACGUCGAACGAGUGGCGGACGGGUGAGUAAUGUCUGGGAAACUGCCCGAUGGAGGGGGCUAACUACUGGAAACGGUAGCUAAUACCGCAUACCAUCAGAUGUGCCCAGAUGGGAUUAUCUGGUAGGUGGGGUAACGGCGCACCUAGGCGACGAUCCCUAGCUGGUCUGAGAGGAUGACCAGCCACACUGGAACUGAGACACGGCCCAGACGCCUACGGGAGGCAGCAGUGGGGAAUAUUGCACAAUGGGCGCAAGCCUGAUGCAGCCAUGCCGCGUGUGUGAAGAAGGCCUUCGGGUUGUAAAGCACUUUCAGCGGGGAGGCGUUACCCGCAGAAGAAGCACCGGCUAACUCCGUGCCAGCAGCCGCGGUAAUUC